GACGUAGGGCGCGAGCGUUGUCCGGAUUUAUUGGGCGUAAAGAGCUCGUAGGCGGUCUGUUGCGUCGGCUGUGAAAACCCGGGGCUCAACUCCGGGCCUGCAGCCGAUACGGGCAGACUAGAGUUCGGCAGGGGAGACUGGAAUUCCUGGUGUAGCGGUGAAAUGCGCAGAUAUCAGGAGGAACACCAAUGGCGAAGGCAGCACUCUGGGACGUGACUGACGCUGAGACGCGAAAGCGUGGGGAGCAAACAGG
rnacentral:rRNA from 1 species